rnacentral:rRNA from 1 species
CCUACGGGCGGCAGCAGUGGGGAAUAUUGGGCAAUGGGCGCAAGCCUGACCCAGCAACGCCGCGUGAAGGAAGAAGGCUUUCGGGUUGUAAACUUCUUUUCUGAGGGACGAAGAAAGUGACGGUACCUCAGGAAUAAGCCACGGCUAACUACGUGCCAGCAGCCGCGGUAAUACGUAGGUGGCAAGCGUUAUACGGAUUUAUUGGGGGUAAAGGGCGUGUAGGCGGGAAAGCAAGUCAGAUGUGAAAACUCAGGGCUCAACCCUGAGCCUGCAUUUGAAACUGUUUUUCUUGAGUGCUGGAGAGGCAAUCGGAAUUCCGUUUGUAGCGGUGAAAUGCGUAGAUAUACGGAGGAACCCCAGUGGCGAAGGCGGAUUGCUGGACAGUAACUGACGCUGAGGCGCGAAUGCGUGGGGAGCAAACAGGAUUAGAUACCCGAGUAGUC